CCUACGGGUGGCAGCAGUGGGGAAUAUUGGGCAAUGGGCGCAAGCCUGACCCAGCAACGCCGCGUGAAGGAAGAAGGCUUUCGGGUUGUAAACUUCUUUUCUCAGGGACGAAGAAAGUGACGGUACCUGAGGAAUAAGCCACGGCUAACUACGUGCCAGCAGCCGCGGUAAUACGUAGGUGGCAAGCGUUAUCCGGAUUGAUUGGGUGUAAAGGGCGUGUAGGCGGGAGCGCAAGUCAGAUGUGAAAUCUCAGGGCUCAACCCUGAGCCUGCAUUUGAAACUGUGUUUCUUGAGUGCUGGAGAGGCAAUCGGAAUUCCGUGUGUAGCGGUGAAAUGCGUAGAUAUACGGAGGAACACCAGUGGCGAAGGCGGAUUGCUGGACAGCAACUGACGGUGAGGCGCGAAAGCGUGGGGAGCAAACAGGAUUAGAUACCCGAGUAGUC
rnacentral:rRNA from 1 species